GACGAACGCUGGCGGCGUGCUUAACACAUGCAAGUCGAGCGGUAAGGCCCUUCGGGGUACACGAGCGGCGAACGGGUGAGUAACACGUGGGUGACCUGCCUCUAGCUCUGGGAUAAGCCUGGGAAACUGGGUCUAAUACCGGAUAUGACUCCACGGCGCAUGUUGUGGGGUGGAAAGCCUUGUGUGGCUAGAGAUGGGCCCGCGGCCUAUCAGCUUGUUGGUGGGGUGAUGGCCACCAAGGCGACGACGGGUAGCCGGCCUGAGAGGGCGACCGGCCACACUGGGACUGAGACACGGCCCAGACUCCUACGGGAGGCAGCAGUGGGGAAUCUUGCGCAAUGGGCGAAAGCCUGACGCAGCGACGCCGCGUGA
rnacentral:rRNA from 1 species